CUAUCUAUCUCUGGAUGUUCUGUAGCUCUGUGGUCACAGCUGAAGGAAAUUCCCAGUAAACUGACUGUAAUAAUAACAUGGAAAAUUACUCAGAGAGACGUUGUGCCAAGGUCAUUGAAAUACUGAUUUUGGGAGUGAAGAAGAAGAGUUAGCAGGGUGAAUCUUCAGAAAAUUCCAAGUGAUUUGGGCCUACUAAGCUAGAGAACUGAAGCAUGAGGCAAAUGAAAAAAUAUGAAGUUCAUAAUCUACGGAGACCUGCAUGUGUACAGCCAUAAAAGCCACAACUGCCAGCUCAGGUGGAAAAAUGUUGAAGUGAGAAAUGUAUUCAAUAAAUAGAAAACACAGCA